GUGGCUCAGUGGAAAAGCCUCUACCUUUCAUGCAGGAGGUCCCAGGUUCAAUCCCCAGCAUCUCCA
rnacentral:tRNA from 1 species